GAUGAACGCUGGCGGCGUGCCUAAUACAUGCAAGUCGAGCGAACAGACGAGGAGCUUGCUCCUCUGACGUUAGCGGCGGACGGGUGAGUAACACGUGGAUAACCUACCUAUAAGACUGGGAUAACUUCGGGAAACCGGAGCUAAUACCGGAUAAUAUAUUGAACCGCAUGGUUCAAUAGUGAAAGACGGUUUUGCUGUCACUUAUAGAUGGAUCCGCGCCGCAUUAGCUAGUUGGUAAGGUAACGGCUUACCAAGGCAACGAUGCGUAGCCGACCUGAGAGGGUGAUCGGCCACACUGGAACUGAGACACGGUCCAGACUCCUACGGGAGGCAGCAGUAGGGAAUAUUCCGCAAAGGGCGAAAGCCUGACGGAGCAACGCCGCGUGAGUGAUGAAGGUCUUCGGAUCGUAAAACUCUGUUAUUAGGGAAGAACAAAUGUGUAAGUAACUAUGCACGUCUUGACGGUACCUAAUCAGAAAGCCACGGCUAACUACGUG
rnacentral:rRNA from 1 species